rnacentral:rRNA from 1 species
CCUACGGGUGGCAGCAGUGGGGAAUAUUGCACAAUGGGGGAAACCCUGAUGCAGCGACGCCGCGUGAGUGAAGAAGCGCCUCGGCGCGUAAAGCUCUGUCAGCAGGAACGACGAUGACGGUACCUGAAGAAGAAGCCCCGGCUAACUACGUGCCAGCAGCCGCGGUAAUACGUAGGGGGCAAGCGUUAUCCGGAUUUACUGGGUGUAAAGGGCGCGUAGGCGGGAUGGCAAGUCAGAUGUGAAAUCCAGGGGCUCAACCCCUGAACUGCAUUUGAAACUGUCGUUCUUGAGUACUGGAGAGGUUGACGGAAUUCCUAGUGUAGCGGUGAAAUGCGUAGAUAUUAGGAGGAACACCAGUGGCGAAGGCGGUCAACUGGACAGCAACUGACGCUGAGGCGCGAAAGCGUGGGGAGCAAACAGGAUUAGAUACCCCAGUAGUC